rnacentral:pre_miRNA from 1 species
UUGACACAUAAUUGACAGCGGGUCUGACCCCGUCUUUAAUGGAUUCACCCAGACCCGAGCUAACCAGUGUGUCAA